rnacentral:lncRNA from 1 species
UGACAUGAGGCUAAAGGGAAGAGAUCAACGUGUCACUGCAGCUGAUGCUGUAAUUUCUGUUUAAUUUACCACUUAAUUGUCAAGUUUAGCAGGAUUGGUGCCAAAUGUAAUCAGCUCCAAUCCGCUGAUGGUGUUUCCACUAAUAAAAGCAAGACGGCUGGCUGGUGUCCCAAACCUCUGCAUCACCUCUGAUGGAAUAUGUACAGUCAGGCCAGUAAACCAUCAAUCGGUGACCUGCAUCUCAUGGGAAAUCUCAGAUUACAAACAUGAUGUCUGA